UAUCGCGCCGGCCCGGGAGGGAUGAGAAGCCUCGACCCGGGUUCGACCACUGGCGCAGCCAGGGGGACAGUCGGCGAGCCAUGCGAGCUGACUGCCCGCAGGGUGAAGAGCCCAACGGGCCGAAUCAAUCCCUCCCUCACCGCCA
rnacentral:sRNA from 1 species